rnacentral:ribozyme from 12 species
GGUCUGAGGAUUGGUCCAAUGCUUGCUCGAGUUUACCGGGUGGGCGGGCGCCUGAGUCGGGAGGCGGGCUACAAGAGGAGGUGCGGACCAGGUUGGAACCAGGGCCAGCAGGGGGGGAGGCCUGGCGAG